GACGAACGCUGGCGGCGUGCUUAACACAUGCAAGUCGAGCGGUAAGGCCUCUUUGGGGGUACACGAGCGGCGAACGGGUGAGUAACACGUGGGUGACCUGCCCUCAGCUCUGGGAUAAGCCUGGGAAACUGGGUCUAAUACCGGAUAUUCACGCAGUCUCGCAUGGGGUUGUGUGGAAAGUUUUUUCGGCUGGGGAUGGGCCCGCGGCCUAUCAGCUUGUUGGUGGGGUGAUGGCCUACCAAGGCGACGACGGGUAGCCGGCCUGAGAGGGCGACCGGCCACACUGGGACUGAGACACGGCCCAGACUCCUACGGGAGGCAGCAGUGGGGAAUAUUGCGCAAUGGGCGGAAGCCUGACGCAGCGACGCCGCGUGGGGGAUGACGGCCUUCGGGUUGUAAACCUCUUUCGACCAGGACGAAGCUUUGGUGACGGUACUGGUAGAAGAAGCACCGGCCAACUACGUGCCAGCCGCCGCCGU
rnacentral:rRNA from 1 species